rnacentral:rRNA from 1 species
CGAAGGGCUAGCGUUGCUCGGAAUCACUGGGCGUAAAGGGCGCGUAGGCGGCCAUUCAAGUCGGGGUGAAAGCCUGUGGCUCAACCACAGAAUUGCCUUCGAUACUGUUUGGCUUGAGUAUGGCAGAGGUCAGUGGAACUGCGAGUGUAGAGGUGAAAUUCGUAGAUAUUCGCAAGAACACCAGUGGCGAAGGCGGCUGACUGGGCCAUUACUGACGCUGAGGCGCGAAAGCGUGGGAGCAAACAGGAUU